rnacentral:rRNA from 1 species
GACGAACCGUGCGAACGUUAUUCGGAAUCACUGGGCUUAAAGCGCGUGUAGGCGGGCCGGCACGUCGAUGGCUGAAAUCCCCCGGCUCAACCGGGGAAGUGGCCUCGAUACGACCGGCCUGGAGGGGGGUAGGGGGCGCCGGAACUUCCGGUGGGGCGGUGAAAUGCGUUGAGAUCGGAAGGAACGCCCGUGGCGAAAGCGGGCGCCUGGACCCCACCUGACGCUGAGACGCGAAAGCCAGGGGAGCGAACGGG